rnacentral:rRNA from 3 species
GUGUAGGUGUGUGUUCCAGGUAAAUCCGGUUCACUUUAACACUGAGGCGUGACGACGAGGCACUACGGUGCUGAAGCAACAAAUGCCCUGCUUCCAGGAAAAGCCUCUAAGCAUCAGGUAACAUCAAAUCGUACCCCAAACCGACACAGGUGGUCAGGUAGAGAAUACCAAGGCGCUUGAGAGAACUCGGGUGAAGGAACUAGGCAAAAUGGUGCCGUAACUUCGGGAGAAGGCACGCUGACACGUAGGUGAAGUGAUUUACUCAUGGAGCUGAAGUCAGUCGAAGAUACCAGCUGGCUGCAACUGUUUAUUAAAAACACAGCACUGUGCAAACACGAAAGUGGACGUAUACGGUGUGACGCCUGCCCGGUGCCGGAAGGUUAAUUGAUGGGGUCAGCGCAAGCGAAGCUCCUGAUCGAAGCCCCGGUAAACGGCGGCCGUAACUAUAACGGUCCUAAGGUAGCGAAAUUCCUUGUCGGGUAAGUUCCGACCUGCACGAAUGGCGUAAUGAUGGCCAGGCUGUCUCCACCCGAGACUCAGUGAAAUUGAACUCGCUGUGAAGAUGCAGUGUACCCGCGGCAAGACGGAAAGACCCCGUGAACCUUUACUAUAGCUUGACACUGAACAUUGAGCCUUGAUGUGUAGGAUAGGUGGGAGGCUUUGAAGUGUGGACGCCAGUCUGCAUGGAGCCGACCUUGAAAUACCACCCUUUAAUGUUUGAUGUUCUAACGUGGACCCGUUACCCGGGUUGCGGACAGUGUCUGGUGGGUAGUUUGACUGGGGCGGUCUCCUCCUAAAGAGUAACGGAGGAGCACGAAGGUUGGCUAAUCCUGGUCGGACAUCAGGAGGUUAGUGCAAUGGCAUAAGCCAGCUUGACUGCGAGCGUGACGGCGCGAGCAGGUGCGAAAGCAGGUCAUAGUGAUCCGGUGGUUCUGAAUGGAAGGGCCAUCGCUCAACGGAUAAAAGGUACUCCGGGGAUAACAGGCUGAUACCGCCCAAGAGUUCAUAUCGACGGCGGUGUUUGGCACCUCGAUGUCGGCUCAUCACAUCCUGGGGCUGAAGUAGGUCCCAAGGGUAUGGCUGUUCGCCAUUUAAAGUGGUACGCGAGCUGGGUUUAGAACGUCGUGAGACAGUUCGGUCCCUAUCUGCCGUGGGCGCUGGAGAACUGAGGGGGGCUGCUCCUAGUACGAGAGGACCGGAGUGGACGCAUCACUGGUGUUCGGGUUGUCAUGCCAAUGGCACUGCCCGGUAGCUAAAUGCGGAAGAGAUAAGUGCUGAAAGCAUCUAAGCACGAAACUUGCCCCGA